rnacentral:lncRNA from 1 species
UUUAUCGUAUAGAUGCCAGGUAAAGCUGAAAUAGCAUACUGAUGUCUGCAUAUUAAGUGGUGUGGAAACUACAGUUCACAAAUAUCAACCUGGAUCUACACACUAAGCACAUGGGUGGUGGAGGAGAGACCUGAAAAAGGAUUUAGCCCCACAGUACAAACAGAACCCUCCAGCCUACAGCUUAAAAUCACCUACCCACAGAAUCCAACCAAGGGCCAAGGCAGUUGGUACUCAAAUGAGAGGGUAAUCUCUUGAUCCUAGCACUGGGAAUCUCCAGCAUAAACAUAAGAGUUGUCAGGAGAGCAUUAGCAGUAAUGUUAUAAAUAUUCUUUUUCUUAUUUCUUAGUAACCCAGAGGCUCCCUUGUGCACUAGAGGCAAUCAUGCAGUCUCUGAACUGUACCUUCAGCCCAUUUUAAAUAUUCCAUGUUGAAACAGAAUCUCAUUGAUUGCCCAGGUUGGCUGUGAACUUUCUCUGUGGUUCAGGCCAGCCAGAUUAUUCUGAAGUUAACGGCCCAGGAACAGAGUUUUAAGUUACCCCAAAUUCCAUGUUCCACAUGUAACAUUUUCAUGGUGUUUUUAUAAUAACAGAACAAAGUCAAUCAUUAAUCAAGGCACUUUUAAAAUUCAUUGAUGGAAACAUUGGGUAGGAAGUUUGCGGCAAUGUAGGGGAACCUCUACAAUAGACUUCAGAUGCUAUCUGAUGGCACUCAGCCUGUUGGUGGAAAUCAGUGGUCAGCUAGUACAUUCAGAAAGGCUUUUAUCUAUUAGUCACAGGCUAUUGGGGCUGACAAAGGUAAAGAAUGGCUACUAAAGCGGGUAAAGAUAGUCCGAGAUAAAUUGUAAUUAGGCUUUGGGCUUGAAACAUUCCAACAUCUCUAUUAUCAUUGAGAUUUUCAUCAGUUAAUCAGUCUGGUAGAAGUUUCCAUGUAAAGCAUGGUUCUUUCCAGAAUCUUUCAAUCAUGUAGCUGGGGUUAUAGUGGUGGAGGUAGCUCGAUUUCUCUCCCUCCUCAUCUCCCUUCCUUUCCUUUUCUCCCCCCUCUUCAUCCUCUUCCUUCCCCCUCUUCCUCCUCUUCCUUCUCCCUCUUCCUCCUGUUCCUCCCAUCCUCUUUCUUCUCCUCUCCCGCUUCUACCUCCACCCCCACCUCUUCUUCCUUCCCCCUCUUCUCCCACCUCCUCCUCCAUCUCCUUUCUUUUCUGGUGCUGCAGACUGACCCUCGUACCUCACACAUCCUCAGCACAUGCUUUCCCACUGACUAACAUCCCAGCCCUACGAGUGUCCUCAAACCCAACAGCAUCAUAGAACAUCUCAACAGGUCAGUCUCCAGUUCUCUCAAUGAAAACCACAGGUGACAUUUUCAGUUGUCACCAGAGUCACGCCUCAUAUGACGAAGUGGAAUGGAUCAAGGACAAUCCACUGCAGUAAUGCAAGACAGUGAGGACAUGGUUCAGCAAGCCAAGUAUUUGCCUCACUGGGUUCAGGGCCUGAGUUUGCUCCUCAGAAUACAUGUAAAGAUGUCCUAUUGUAUACCUAUAAUUAAACGGCUGGGGAGGCAGAAAUAGGCUGACCUCUG